rnacentral:rRNA from 1 species
AUUGAACGCUGGCGGCAGGCUUAACACAUGCAAGUCGAGCGGGGAAGAGUAGCUUGCUACUUUACCUAGCGGCGGACGGGUGAGUAAUGCUUAGGAAUCUGCCUAUUAGUGGGGGACAACAUCUCGAAAGGGAUGCUAAUACCGCAUACGUCCUACGGGAGAAAGCAGGGGACCUUCGGGCCUUGCGCUAAUAGAUGAGCCUAAGUCGGAUUAGCUAGCUGGUGGGGUAAAGGCCUACCAAGGCGACGAUCUGUAGCGGGUCUGAGAGGAUGAUCCGCCACACUGGGACUGAGACACGGCCCAGACUCCUACGGGAGGCAGCAGUGGGGAAUAUUGGACAAUGGGGGGAACCCUGAUCCAGCCAUGCCGCGUGUGUGAAGAAGGCCUUUUGGUUGUAAAGCACUUUAAGCGAGGAGGAGGCUACCGAGAUUAAUACUCUUGGAUAGUGGACGUUACUCGCAGAAUAAGUACCGGCUAACUCUGUGCCAGCAGCCGCGGUAAUACAGAGGGUGCAAGCGUUAAUCGGAUUUACUGGGCGUAAAGCGC